rnacentral:rRNA from 1 species
CCCUUAUGGUUAGGGGCUACACACGUCAUACAAUGGCCGGUACAGAGGGCUGCCAACCCGCGAGGGGGAGCCAAUCCCAGAAAACCGGUCGUAGUCCGGAUCGCAGUCUGCAACUCGACUGCGUGAAGUCGGAAUCGCUAGUAAUCGCGGAUCAGCUUGCCGCGGUGAAUACGUUCCCGGGUCUUGUACACACCGCCCGUCACACCAUGGGAGCGGGUUCUGCCAGAAGUAGUUAGCCUAACCGCAAGGAGGGCGAUUACCACGGCAGGGUUCGUGACUGGGGUGAAGUCGUAACAAGGUAGCCGUAUCGGAAGGUGCGGCU